UAAUACGAAGGGGGCUAGCGUUGUUCGGAAUUACUGGGCGUAAAGCGCGCGCAGGUGGUUUCUCAAGUCAGUGGUGAAAGCCCGGAGCUCAACUCCGGAACUGCCAUUGAAACUGUGGAACUUGAGGACGAGAGAGGUGAGUGGAAUUCCCAGUGUAGAGGUGAAAUUCGUAGAUAUUGGGAAGAACACCGGUGGCGAAGGCGGCUCACUGGCUCGUAUCUGACACUCAAGCGCGACAGCGUGGGGAUCAAACAGGAUUAGAUACCCUGGUAGUCCACGCCGUAAACGAUGAUUGCUAGCCGUUGGCCAGCUUGCUGGUCAGUGGCGCAGCUAACGCAUUAAGCAAUCCGCCUGGGGAGUACGGCCGCAAGGUUG
rnacentral:rRNA from 1 species